rnacentral:lncRNA from 1 species
UGUGUGAAGUGGAGACCCAGCCCCGACCUGACACUGAAUCCGUCGGCUCCUUGUGUGAAGUGGAGACCCAGCCCCGACCUGACUCUGAAUCCGUCGGCUCCUUGUGUGAAGUGGAGACCCAGCCCCUACCUGACUCUGAAUCCGUCGGCUCCUUGUGUGAAGUGGAGACCCAGCCCCGACCUGACUCUGAAUCCGUCGGCUCCUUGUGUGAAGUGGAGACCCAGCCCCUACCUGACUCUGAAUCCGUCGGCUCCUUGUGUGAAGUGGAGACCCAGCCCCGACCUGACUCUGAAUCCGUCGGCUCCUUGUGUGAAGUGGAGACCCAGCCCCGACCUGACACUGAAUCCGUCGGCUCCUUGUGUGAAGUGGAGACCCAGCCCCAACCUGACACUGAAUCCGUCGGCUCCUUGUGUGAAGUGGAGACCCAGCCCCUACCUGACUCUGAAUCCGUCGGCUCCUUGUGUGAAGUGGAGACCCAGCCCCUACCUGACUCUGAAUCCGUCCGCUCCUUGUGUGAAGUGGAGACCCAGCCCCUACCUGACUCUGAAUCCGUCCGCUCCUUGUGUGAAGUGGAGACCCAGCCCCUACCUGACUCUGAAUCCGUCCGCUCCUUGUGUGAAGUGGAGACCCAGCCCCUACCUGACUCUGAAUCCGUCGGCUCCUUGUGUGAAGUGGAGACCCAGCUCCUACCUGACUCUGAAUCCGUUGGCUCCUUGUGUGAAGUGGAGACCCAGCUCCUACCUGACUCUGAAUCUGUCGGCUGUUUGUGUGAAGUGGAGACCCAGCCCCGACCUGACACUGAAUCCGUAGGCUCCUUGUGUGAAGUGGAGACCCAGCUCCUACCUGACUCUGAAUCUGUCGGCUCCUUGAUCUUGGACUUCUCAGUCCCAGGAAGAGUGUACAGUGACGUCUUCCACUGUGUAUUCAGAACCCCUGUAUAA